GCACCCCCAAAGGGUGCCGGGGCUUCUCCCGUUU
rnacentral:tRNA from 1 species